rnacentral:misc_RNA from 1 species
GAUGAAGAACGUAGCGAAAUGCGAUAAGUAAUGUGAAUUGCAGAAUUCAGUGAAUCAUCGAGUCUUUGAACGCACAUUGCGCCCCCUGGUAUUCCGGGGGGCAUGCCUGUCCGAGCGUCAUUGCUGCCCUCAAGCACGGCUUGUGUGUUGGGCUCCGCCCCCCUCCCGGGGGGCGGGCCCGAAAGGCAGCGGCGGCACCGCGUCCGGUCCUCGAGCGUAUGGGGCUUUGUCACCCGCUCUGUAGGCCCGGCCGGCGCCCGCCGGCGACCCCAAGCAAUCUUUCCAGGUUGACCUCGGAUCAGGUAGGGAUACCCGCUGAACUUAAGCAUAUCAAUAAGCGGAGGA